AUACGGAGGGUCCAAGCGUUAUCCGGAAUCAUUGGGUUUAAAGGGUCCGCAGGCGGUCAAUUAAGUCAGAGGUGAAAGCCCAUCGCUCAACGAUGGAACUGCCUUUGAUACUGGUUGACUUGAGUUAUACGGAAGUAGAUAGAAUAAGUAGUGUAGCGGUGAAAUGCAUAGAUAUUACUUAGAGUACCGAUUGCGAAGGCAGUCUACUACGUAUAUACUGACGCUGAGGGACGAAAGCGUGGGGAGCGAACAGGAUUAGAAACCCUAGUAGUCC
rnacentral:rRNA from 1 species